GACGAACGCUGGCGGCGUGCUUAACACAUGCAAGUCGAACGGAAAGGCCCUGCUUUUGUGGGGUGCUCGAGUGGCGAACGGGUGAGUAACACGUGAGUAACCUGCCCUUGACUUUGGGAUAACUUCAGGAAACUGGGGCUAAUACCGGAUAGGAGCUCCUGCUGCAUGGUGGGGGUUGGAAAGUUUCGGCGGAUGGGGAUGGACUCGCGGCUUAUCAGCUUGUUGGUGGGGUAGUGGCUUACCAAGGCUUUGACGGGUAGCCGGCCUGGGAGGGUGACCGGCCACAUUGGGACUGAGAUAGGGCCCAGACUCCUACGGGAGGCAGCAGCGGGGAAUAUUGCACAAUGGGCGGAAGCCUGAGGCAGCAACGCCGCGUGCGGGAUGACGGCCUUCGGGUUGUAAACCGCUUUCGCCUGUGACGAAGCGUGAGUGACGGUAAUGGGUGAAGAAGCACCGGCUAACUACGUG
rnacentral:rRNA from 1 species